rnacentral:rRNA from 1 species
UACGAAGGGGGCAAGCGUUGCUCGGAAUCACUGGGCGUAAAGCGUACGUAGGCGGGUCGUUAAGUCAGGGGUGAAAUCCUGGAGCUCAACUCCAGAACUGCCCUUGAUACUGGCGAUCUUGAGUUCGAGAGAGGUUGGUGGAACUGCGAGUGUAGAGGUGAAAUUCGUAGAUAUUCGCAAGAACACCAGUGGCGAAGGCGGCCAACUGGCUCGAUACUGACGCUGAGGUACGAAAGCGUGGGGAGCAAACAGG